rnacentral:rRNA from 1 species
GAUGAACGCUGGCGGCGUGCCUAAUACAUGCAAGUCGAGCGAACGGACGAGAAGCUUGCUUCUCUGAUGUUAGCGGCGGACGGGUGAGUAACACGUGGAUAACCUACCUAUAAGACUGGGAUAACUUCGGGAAACCUGAGCUAAUACCGGAUAAUAUUUUGAACCGCAUGGUUCAAAAGUGAAAGACGGUCUUGCUGUCACUUAUAGAUGGAUCCGCGCUGCAUUAGCUAGUUGGUAAGGUAACGGCUUACCAAGGCAACGAUGCAUAGCCGACCUGAGAGGGUGAUCGGCCACACUGGAACUGGGACACGGUCCAGACUCCUACGGGAGGCAGCAGUAGGGAAUCUUCCGCAAAGGGCGAAAGCCUGACGGAGCAACGCCGAGUGAGUGAUGAAGGUCUUCGGAUCGUAAAACUCUGUUAUUAGGGAAGAACAUAUGUGUAAGUAACUGUGCACAUCUUGACGGUACCUAAUCAGAAAGCCGGGGCUAACUACGUG